rnacentral:rRNA from 1 species
GAUGAACGCUGGCGGCGUGCCUAAUACAUGCAAGUCGAGCGAACAGACGAGGAUCUUGCUCCUCUGACGUUAGCGGCGGACGGGUGAGUAACACGUGGAUAACCUACCUAUAAGACUGGGAUAACUUCGGGAAACCGGAGCUAAUACCGGAUAAUAUAUUGAACCGCAUGGUUCAAUAGUGAAAGACGGUUUUGCUGUCACUUAUAGAUGGAUCCGCGCCGGAUUAGCUAGUUGGUAAGGUAACGGCUUACCAAGGCAACGAUGCGUAGCCGACCUGAGAGGGUGAUCGGCCACACUGGAACUGAGACACGGUCCAGACUCCUACGGGAGGCAGCAGUAGGGAAUCUUCCGCAAUGGGCGAAAGCCUGACGGAGCAACGCCGCGUGAGUGAUGAAGGUCUUCGGAUCGUAAAACUCUGUUAUUAGGGAAGAACAAAUGUGUAAGUAACUAUGCACGUCUUGACGGUACCUAAUCAGAAAGCCACGGCUAACUACGUG